AUUGGCUGGUUUCAUAUCACCAUGUUGGACGUUUAACCUUUCAUUGCCAACUGUAUCUAGCGUUAGUUAGUGAAAAAGAUAACAUUUGUUUACUCUUAUUUUACCUCGCCUUUAAAACAUGGGGUAUUUUUCUAGUUGAUAACCUUAAGAAGGCAUUUUCCUUACAGUGGACCCAUUAGCAACAACUAGUAGAGCCAUAAGUACAUCAACAAACGUGCCAGGCAACAGAUGGACACGUGUUUCCCAAACAUAUGCUACCAACUGCUUUGUCUGCAGGCAGGGGAAAGUAGGUCAUGCUAAAGAAACCUGAUAUCUGUAGCAUUUGUACAAAAAAGCAGAACCGUCAUUUUAUUGUGGCUAAACAAUACUUCACACUCCUACAGGGUUUGGAUUGUUUGACCACAUACACAUUUAACACCCACACUGCCAAGCACACAUUUUGCAGUAUAUGUGG